AGUGAACGCUGGCGGUAGGCCUAACACAUGCAAGUCGAACGGCAGCACAGUAAGAGCUUGCUCUUACGGGUGGCGAGUGGCGGACGGGUGAGGAAUACAUCGGAAUCUACUUUUUCGUGGGGGAUAACGUAGGGAAACUUACGCUAAUACCGCAUACGACCUACGGGCGAAAGCAGGGGAUCUUCGGACCUUGCGCGAUUGAAUGAGCCGAUGUCGGAUUAGCUAGUUGGCGGGGUAAAGGCCCACCAAGGGGACGAUCGGUAGCUGGUCUGAGAGGAUGGUCAGCGACCCGGGAACUUAGCCACGCGCCAGAGGCCUGCGGGAGGCAGCAGUGGGGAAUAUGGGACAGCAGUCGGAAGUCUGAUACAGCGAUAGCGCGUGGGAGAAGGAGGCCUCGCGGUUGUAAAGCCGUUCUGUUGGGAAAGAAAAGCAGCAGGUUAUUACCCCGCGGUCCUGACGGUACCCAAAGAAUAAGCACCGGCUAACCUCGUG
rnacentral:rRNA from 1 species